rnacentral:lncRNA from 1 species
CACGUUUACACGAGAGCAGCAGGCACUUCCUGGCUGGCUCCCUUCAGACAAGGAGCCUCUGUUCGCCUUGGGACUAGGGAGCAAACAGCCGCUGACAGUCCCAGCUGGGUGAAGCAGAAUAUUCUUUCUAGGGAAUACAUGACAGUGAGGGAAUAAUAGGAUUUUAGAAUCUGGCAUCGGAGCUUGCCAAGUUUAAACUUCU